CGUGGAGGGACCCGUGGAGGGACCCGUGUUGCUUGAAAUGCCAAUGGAAAGACACAGCCAAACAAGACUUCAUUCCACAACGUUUGGCUCAGAUGAGCUCACCUCUGAGCGAAAUGUAGUUUAAUAAUAGCAAGGUGGCCAUCAAGAUCAUUGACAAGUCCCAGCUGGAUGCCACCAACCUUCAGAAGGUUCACCGCGAGGUUAAAGUGUUGAAGAGUCUCGACCAUCCGCACAUCAUCAAGCUCUACCAGGUGAUGGAGUCCAAGAACAUGAUCUACUUAGUGUCAGAAUACGCCUGCAACGGAGAGAUGUUUGGUGAGUCUCUCUCUCUCUCUUUCUCUCUUUCUCUUUCUCUCAUUAAAAGGGUUCGUUAUCAUCGUUAUCUGUGUUGGUUGUUAUUG